AUACUUACCUGGCAAGAGAAAUGCCGUGACCACUAAGUCGGUUUUCCUAGUUGCUGGGGAUAACCACUUUUCUGGCAUGGGAUAUUUCCCAUGGAGGUAAUGUAUAGUUAACCUCCCACUUCCAUUUCCAGUGAGAAGAUCUUGGCUUUAUGCCCACUUUAUGGAAAUGGGAGACUCCUG
rnacentral:snRNA from 1 species